UCCUUCAGCCCCCAUUGAGUC
rnacentral:piRNA from 1 species